AUGCUGUUGAUCACUAGAUUGUCUGGUCUAACUCGAUUAUUUACAGACCACCGCCAUAUAGCUGGAAUAUUGCUGAGUGCUGCGUAAAACUAAACUCACUCACUCAACACAAAAACUGAAUACAUUCAUACCAACUCAGUGACAGUGAUCAGCACAAUGAGGCCACACAAUCCCCACUAGAUUUAGUAUCAGGCAUUACCUUUGACUGCCUCCAUGUACUAGUGGAUAGGGCGUCUGCUGGAAGAGUGAAAGAUUGGUAGUCUAAUCCCUACCCGGGUGAUACCAAAAUACACCAAACAUGUUACUUGUUGUGUCCCUGGUCAGCCCUCGGCACUAAGGAGGCUACACAAGGUCUGGUCAGCUCUGUCAGUAUAAUGUGUCUGAAUAAGGUGUCCCCGCUCAGCCCUCGGCACUAAGGAGUCUACACAAGGUCUGGUCAGCUCUGUCAGUAUAAUGUGUCUGAAUAAGGUGUCCCCGCUCAGCCCUCGGCACUAAGGAGUCUACACAAGGCCUGGUCAGCUCUGUCAGUAUAAUGUGUCUGAAUAAGGUGUCCCCGCUCAGCCCUCGGCACUAAGGAGGCUACACAAGGUCUGGUCAGCUCUGUCAGUAUAAUGUGUCUGAAUAAGGUGUCCCCGCUCAGCCCUCGGCACUAAGGAGACUACACAAGGUCUGGUCAGCUCUGUCAGUAUAAUGUGUCUGAAUAAGGUGUCCCUGGUAAGCUGUUGAAGGUAUCUGCAUAUGUUAGUAUUAUGUCAUUGAUGGUACAGGUUGUAACGAAUGACCUGGGACAUGUUAGUGGAUACAAAAUGUGUCAUUACAUUAUAGAGUUUGUGUUUUUGUAAACUGAAAUAUUUGCUUUUUGUAAAAGAAGUACAAAAGCGAUACCAUUUUUACAAAAUGGCUAUUUUAUAUAGAAAUAUAUUCUAAGCAGUGUGAUGUUUUGUUUCAAGGUGUGUUUUUUUUUAAAAUGGUAUGGUCAUUGUUUGUGGUGCAGGUGGUAGUGUACAUGUAUUGUGCAUGUGUCCCCAGUGUGAUAAAUAGAUCUCGCUUGGGCAAUGCAAAAUUUCACACUCGUUUCGUAUAAGUCGUAUGACACACUUGCUUGUGUAAUAAUUUCUUUAUUAUCCAUUUUAUUCAUGGACAUUUGUGCAGUAAAACACGGUAAACAAGUGUGACUGCCCUGUUCAUUGACGUCACUGACAACGAAAUACAGAAACAAUGGAUGCUAAACAAAAGUGAUAUAUAUGACACUGGUUAUGUUUCCCCAUAUGGAUAAUAAUAGCAGUUACCCAGUAUGUCUCUGGGUUGAAUUAUGCUAUGUGCAUUUACUGCAACUUUAUAAGUUGUAUAUUUCAUUGAUCUUUUUUUAUGAGCUCACUAGUCUACAUAUCACACUGUCUCCUUGUUACACUUUGUAACACUUUGUAUGUUUGUGGAUAAUUCUGUAUGAUACUGUAUGUAUGUAUGUGUAUCACACUGUACACCAUGUAUCAGACUAUGUCUAACAUGCUGUAUAAUAUGGUAUGAUGUUGUAUCAUAUGUUAUCAUACUGUAAGGCUUUACAUCAUACAAUUUAAACUGGUAUGCCAGUUUCGUACUGCAUGUCUGAGUAUGAUACUGUGUAUAUGUGUUUGAUACUGUAUGCCUGUGUUUGAACUGUAUGUCAGUGUAAGAUAUUGUAUGUCUGUAUUUGAUUCUGUAUUUCUGUGUAAGGUUUAGACUAUCAUCUAGUCUCUAAUAUGAACAUAUUUUCCAGUAGAAAGUUUCUUCAUUUUUAGAAACUGUGGUAAUGUAGACUUGUCACAUGUUCGAGACUUGCAUGGGCUUUCUAUAUUUGUUUCAGUGAGUGAGUGAGUGAGUUUGGUUUCAGGCUGCAUUUAGCAAUAUUCCAGCAAUAUCAUGGCGGGCACACCAGAAAUGGGCUUUACACAUUGUAAAUCGAGCGCUUUAACCACAAGGCUACCCCACCAUCCCUAUUUGGUUCAGGGUUUGUUGGACAGACUCUGUAAGGUACUGUAUGUCUGUGUAAGGUACUGUAUGUCUGUGUAAGGUACUGCUUGUGUGGUACUGAAUGUGUGUAUGAUUUCUUUAUGAUACUGUAUGUCAGUGUACCAUACUGAUAUAUGAUUUAAACUGUAUGUUGGCAUAGCUGUUUGUCCGGGUAUGCCUAUUUGAUUAUACAUCUGUUCAGUCCUGUGUUUCCUGGUAUAUAACGAGUGGAAGUGUUCCACCAGCUCCAUGCUGUGUACUACAGCUGAUACUUAAUAAACAUACUGUCCAUGUUUCCA